CCCUCAGGAUAGCUGGAACUUGAACAGUUUUAUCAGGUAAAGCGAAUGAUUAGAGGCCUUUGGCGCGAAACGCGCUAAACCUAUUCUCAAACUUUAAAUAGGUAAGAAGCCUUGCUUGCUUAAGUGAAGCAGGGCAUUGAAUGUGAGUUCCAUGUGGGCCAUUUUUGGUAAGCAGAACUGGCGAUGCGGGAUGAACCGAACGCGGGAGUUAAGGUGCCAAAAUCGACGCUCAUCAGACCCCAGAAAAGGUGUUGGUUGAUAUAGACAGCAGGACGGUGGCCAUGGAAGUCGGAACCCGCUAAGGAGUGUGUAACAACCCACCUGCCGAAUCAACUAGCCCUGAAAAUUGAUGGCGCUUGAGCGUCGUACCUAUACUCCGCCGUUGGCGCAAAUGCGAGGUGCCAACGAGUAGGUGGGCGUGGGGGUUGUGACGAAGCCUUGGGCGUAAGCCUGGGUUGAACGGCCUCUGGUGCAGAUCUUGGUGGUAGUAGCAAAUAUUCAAAUGAGAACUUUGAAGACUGAAGUGGAGAAAGGUUCCAUGUGAACAGCAGUUGGACAUGGGUUAGUCGAUCCUAAGAGAUAGGGGAACUCCGUUUUAACGCGCGCGAUUUGUUUCGCGCCGCCUAUCGAAAGGGAAUCGGGUUAAUAUUCCCGAACCGGGCUGGGGAUGUGCGGUGACGCGAAUGAACUUGGAGACGCCGGCGUGAGCCCUGGAAAGAGUUCUCUUUUCUUUUUAACGCGCUAUGACCCUGAAAUCAGCUUAUCUGGAGAUAGGGAUUAGGGCGCGGUAAAGCACGAUACUUCUUGUCGUGUCCGGUGCGCUUGCGACGGCCCGUGAAAAUCCAAGGGAAGGUUUUGUUUCCCAUCCGGUCGUACUCAUAACCGCAGCAGGUCUCCUAGGUUAACA
rnacentral:rRNA from 1 species